CAAUAGCGUAUAUUUAAGUUGUUGCAGUUAAAAAGCUCGUAGUCGGAUUUUGGCUGAGAACGAUCGGUCCGCCGUUAGGUGUGCACUGAUUGGUCUCAGCUUCCUGGUGAGGAGGUGUGCUUCACGGCCACUUAGUCACCGUGGUUACUUUGAAAAAAUUAGAGUGUUCAAAGCGGGCUUACGCUUGAAUAUAUUAGCAUGGAAUAACACCAUAGGACUCCUGUCCUAUUUCGUUGGUCUCGGGACGGGAGUAAUGAUCAAGAGGAACAGUUGGGGGCAUUCGUAUUUCAUUGUCAGAGGUGAAAUUCUUGGAUUUAUGAAAGACGAACUUCCGCGAAAGCAUUUGUCAAGGAUGUUUUCAUUGA
rnacentral:rRNA from 1 species